UGACCAGCUUCCAGCCUGUGGAACGGUCCGGGUCCACCCCAACCCCCGUCCCGAAAUUGGGCUCGCCCAGCGGCGCUCUGCCCCUAUCCCGCCCCCGCAGGCGGUUUCGUCGGGUUACGCCCACGGGCCACAUCCGGCCCGUGGGGCUCCUUGCAGGUGCGGAAGCGUAGCACUGCGUUGCUACACGGGUGGGAAGUGUCGGGGCCCUGCCCGCUGGGCGGUGAUCGCAGUGCGCGGUGGCUGCACCAAGGCCCGGGGGGCCGAGCGAGGGCAGGUCCCGGGCCCCGGGCAGCAGUCCCAGCGCGCUGCACUGGAGCUCGAUCCUCGUGACUGGCCCACAGACGGCCCUGCGCUGCUCAUCUGGUCCGAGGGGCCAGAAGGUUGAGCACCACCGGGUUAGACGAGGGAUUUGUACGGGAUGGUUUGGAUAGGGAUGAUCCUACCUCAGGCACGGGACUGGACUACAUCUCUGGAGGUCUCUUCCAGCCCGGCUUCUCUGUGAUUCCGUAUGAACGAUGCCAUCACUCCCUCACCACCACAUUUUUGAACCCCCAAGGGCUGGAUGACACGGCUCCGUCAGCUGGCUCUGGGCCAUGAGGUGCAGGCACUGAGCACUAGUGCCAGGGGCCAGUAGUUCUCAUGAGACUCGAGACGGCCCGUUGGAAACAGCCAGCCCCUAGCUUACAGGGGCAUCGGUCUUUACUACUUCCAUCCAGGAAGGCUGCACACCAGUUGCAGGUGCUUCCUCAGCCUGACGAAGGGUAUGUGUACCCAAAAGCUUGUUAAGAAGAAUUUGUCCAACUAUUUGAGUCAGUCUAAUAAAAGAUACCAGAUUUACUCCCAAAACCUUGAUCUCCUAGCUUGUCCCUCAGGUUUUGACUACUGAAAAAUAACAGCAAUUCUCCUGUGGUAAAGAACUUGGAAGGAUUGCAGCCGGUCAGACACAUUUUAACACUAUGGAUUCCUAUUUGAAAUUGCUGGGUUUGGCCUGUGAAUCAUGCAUAGGUGCCAAGACUGAGCAGCAUCCUUAAAAGGAUUUCACGGCACCCUGGCUGAGAAUCUGCUAUAGACUCUGUCUAUACUAGAAGGGCCUUGUCAUUGCCAUGCUCUGUUACCUGCCAUGUCCAAGAAAAGUGUUGGGAACUACAUCAGGACUUGUAUAUGGCCUUCAUUGACGUUACUAAGUCCUUUGAUUCCAUCAGUCAGGAGGCCUUGUGAAAAGCACCAGCCAGAUUUGGCUAUCCUGACAACUACAUCAAGGUUUUGAGGCUCCUCCACAACCAGAUGACUGCGACAGGUCUAUGUACCAGUUUGAAGACAGAUGCAUUUGUCAUCUGAACUGGGGUCAAGCAAGGUUAUGUCAUCACCCCAAUCUUGUUCUCUCUCUUUUUUGACACUCAUUCUAGUCAUCCUAAGGACCACCUUCCUUCUGGAAUUGACUUUGAGUACCAAAUGGAAGGAAGACUUCAAUCUGGGACAUUUUCUCUCAAAGACCAAAGUACUCAAAACAACCAUUGUUGACCUUCAGUACACAGAGAACUGCACCAUGCUUGCACACAUGGGUGACUGGUGCCUCCUGAAUCUGGGGGGGGGCACCCACAGAAGCCAGCAGCGGGGAUGGGGCUGGAGCACCUGCAGACACCACCGGUGGCAUCGGGGAUGGCCCUGUCAGGGGGGUCGCAUGCCCCCCCACUCCCCCCAUGCCUCUCCUACCAGUCGCCUAUGCUUGGACACACUGAGGAAAUCCUCCAGGUGUCACUGGAUCUUUGGGCCUCUCUCAACACCAAGAAGACUAAACUGCUCUAUCAGCCUGCUCCAGGCUAUGAAUGCGACCCACCUCCCUAAAUUACCAUUGAGGGGAAAACUGUGGAAGUAAUCGCACAUUUCCCUUACCUCUCUCAGAGUGAAGAUGGUUGAGGAGAACAAGCACAGGAUUUGGUGCACAAGUGCUUCCUUUGGAAAAUUAUUUCAGCAUGUCUUUAUUCAUCGCAAUCUCCAGAAAGACACCAAGACGCAGGUUUACAUUGCAGUCAUCAUCACCACCCUCCUCUCCAGGUCUGAAAUGUGGAUGACCUACCAUCAUCAUCUCGAGAGGUGGAGAAGUCAAUCUCAAUGCUAUUCCUGUAUUGCUGGAGAGGUAUCACGAACGAUACAUCCAGAAAAUCCUCCAUAUCAAAUGGGAAGAUUGCUGCACAAACCCCAGCAUCCUUGCUGAAGCCAAUGUUACCAGCAUUGAGUUGGUGAUCCUCAAGCACCAACUUUGCUGGACCAGACAUUGUGUGUGGAUGCCUGACUCAACUCCCAAAACGAAUGUUCUACUCCCAGCUUAGUAACAGCUUGAAAUCUUGAUUUUGCAGUGGCCAGAGAAAAUGCUACAAGGACACAUUGAAAGCAUACCUCAAGAAAACAUGCUGAAAUCGAGUUGGGAGGAGCUGGCUGCCGACCAACUCCAAUGGCACUGCAACCUCAACCAGUGAUAGCUCAUUUUGAAGUAAAGCAUCUUGCCCUAAAAGCAGAGAAGAGAGAGCGGAGAAAAGAAAAGGAGAGGCAUCCCAGCCUGCAGCUUACUCUCCCCUAUGGAAGGACCUGCACCUCUGUGGUUCGUUCAAAGAUUGGACUCAAGUCACCUCAAGACCUAUCAGUGAGCCAUAGUAGAGAUCAUUAUCUAAUCAAGGGAUUGCAGCUGCUGCUGACUAGAGGGGCAGCUGCUACUGCUGCUUUGACAAUGGUGUCUGGGCCUGCAGACAUGAAUGCAGCUUUGCUGAAGGAGAUUUAGAGUUACACCCACCUCCUUUCCACAGCAGAAGAUGGGUGGUUUGCUUGUAGAGCUCUGCCAUGGAUUAUGAUCCCUUUACACCCCUGGCCUUCCUGGCUGAUUUGGCAUAACUUUGCAGGGGUUCUCAAAGUUUUUAUACCGCAGCCCAGCAGUCACAGCCAACUGUGGCCGGAAUUUCCAGCUGGAAGACAGUGCCCCUCUUCUGGAAGGAUCCCACACUGUUGGAAACAUAAAUGAUCUGGAAAAUGGGUUGGAGUGCAUCCUCAGCAGGUUUGCAGAUGACACCAAGGUAAGGGGAAUAGUAGAUGUGCUGGAGGGUAGUGCUAAGAUUCAGAAAGCCCUAGACAAAUUGGAGGAUUGGACCAAAAGAAACCUCAUGAAGUUCAUUAAGGACAAGUGCAAAGUCCUGCACUUGGGACAGAACAGUCCCAUGCACUGGUACAGACUGUGGACUGACUGGCUAAGCAGCAGCGCUGCAGAAAAGAACCUGGGGGUUACAGUGGACAAUAAGCUGAAUAUAAGCCAACAGUGUGCCCUUGUUACCAAGAAGGCUAACGGCAUACUGGGCUGCAUUGGUAGGUGUGCUGCCAGCAGAUCGAGGGAAGUGAUUAUUCCUCUCUGUUCGGCGCUGGUGAGGCCACAUCUGGAGUACUGUAUCCAGUUUUGGGUCUCCCACUACAGAAAGGAUGUGGACAAAUUGGAGAGAGUCCAGCAGAGGGCAAAAAAAUAGGAGGCUGAGGGAACUGGCCUUAUUUAAUCUGGAGAAGACUGGGGAUUUAAUAGCAAGCCUUCAACUACCUGACUGGUGGCUACAAAGAAGAUGGGGCUAGAUUAUUUUCAGUGGUGGCAGAUAACAGAACAAGGAGCAAUGGUGUCAAGUUGCAGCAAAUCACACACCGCUGGUUAUGACGUGUUACCCCUCCCUCGAACCUGUACGGAAAAUCCUCAAGCAAUUGCAACCCAUACUAGAAAGAGACCCUAUUCUUAAAAAGAUCUUCCCAGAGCCACCCAUCCUAGCCUUCAAACAAGCACUGAACCUUGCUAACCUCACCACCAGAAGCAAACUUCCUCAAGCUCAGAACACACCAAAGGGAUCCAAAUUGUGCCAUGACAAGAAAUGCAAAACCUGCCAACACAUCUCCACCACCCCCACAAUAACUACACCCCACAACAGAGCCAUCAGCAUUCCAGGAUCUUACAGCUGCACCUCCAGAAUUGUAAUAUACCUCAUCCAAUGCACCAAAUGCCCUGAUGGAAAAUAUGUAGGAGAGACCAAACAACAACUGCGCACCAGAAUGAAUGCACACUGGAAAUCCAUCAAAGACAGGAAUACCCAGUUACCAGUGGGGUUAUAUUUCUCACAAGAAAACCACUCUCUCUCCAAUCUCUCAGUCCUGAUCCUCAAAGGAAACUUACAAAACACUUCCCAGAGACGAGCCUAUGAACUCCACUUCAUCAACCUCCUGGACACUAAAAAUCAUGAACUAAAUAUAGGCAGACAAGAUUCCUUGGGUGAAUCUGAUAUCUUUUAUUAG